rnacentral:rRNA from 1 species
GCCAAGUAGCGUGAAGGACGACUGCCCUAUGGGUUGUAAACUUCUUUUAUGGGAGAAUAAAAUGCCUCAUGUAUGGGGUAUUGCAUGUAUCCCUUGAAUAAGCAUCGGCUAACUCCGUGCCAGCAGCCGCGGUAAUACGGAGGAUGCGAGCGUUAUCCGGAUUUAUUGGGUUUAAAGGGUGCGUAGGCGGGAUGUCCAGUCAGUCGUGAAAUAUGGAGGCUCAACCUUCAUCUUGCGAUUGAAACUGACAUUCUUGAGUAUGGACAAGGUGGGCGGAAUUCGUGGUGUAGCGGUGAAAUGCUUAGAUAUCACGAAGAACUCCGAUUGCGUAGGCAGCUCACCGGGGCAUGACUGACGCUGAGGCACGAAAGUUCGGUUAUCAAACAGGAUUAGAUACCCUGGUAGUCCGUACUGUAAACGAUGAAUACUCGCCGUCUGCGAUACACAGCAGGCGGUCAAGCGAAAGCAUUAAGUAUUCCACCUGGGGAGUACGCCGGCAACGGUGAAACUCAAAGGAAUUGACGGGGGCCCGCACAAGCGGAGGAACAUGUGGUUUAAUUCGAUGAUACGCGAGGGACCUUACCCGGGCUUGAAUUGCAGAGGAAUGUAGGUGAAAGCUUACCGCCGCAAGGUCUCUGUGAAGGUGCUGCAUGGUUGUCGUCAGCUCGUGCCGUGAGGUGUCGGCUUAAGUGCCAUAACGAGCGCAACCCUGAUGGUCAGUUACCAGCAUGUCAUGAUGGGGACUCUGACCAGACUGCCGUCGUAAGAUGUGANGA